AUUGAACGCUGGCGGCAGGACUAAAACAUGCAAGUCGAACGAGGGGCGGACGGGUGAGCCCUGGCUGGGAAACUGCAUGAUGGAGGGGGCUAAAUACCGGAAACGGUAGUUAAUACCGCAUACAAUAGGCUGCGCCCAGAUGGGAUUAGCGUGGUGGUGGGGUAACGGCUGACCAAGGCGACGAUCCCUAGCUGGUCUGAGAGGAUGACCAGCCACACUGGAACUGAGACACGGUCCAGACUCCUACGGGAGGCAGCAGUAGGGAAUAUUGCACAAUGGGCGCAAGCCUGAUGCAGCCAUGCCGCGUGUGUGAAGAAGGCCUUCGGGUUGUAAAGUACUUUCAGCGGGGAGGCGGUACCCGAAGAAGAAGCACCGGCUAACUCCGUGCCAGCAGCCGCGGUAAUUC
rnacentral:rRNA from 1 species